rnacentral:rRNA from 1 species
CUACGGGGUGCAGCAGCUAAGUAUCUUUUGCAAUGCGCGAAAGCGUGACAGAGCGAACCAAAGUGUUCUUCUACUUGAAGAACUUUUGUCUAGUGCAAAAAGCUAGACGAAUAAGGACUGGGUAAGACUGGUGCCAGCCGCCGCGGUGAUACCAGCGGUCCAAGUCGCAGCCACAUUUAUUGGGUAUAAAACAUCCGUAGCUUGCUUUGUAAGCUUCUUGUGAAAUCUCAUAUCUCAAGUAUGAGGCGGGCAAGAAAUACUGCUUGGCUAGAGACCGGAAGACGCAAAGAGUACGGCCGAGGUAAUGGUAAAAUAUGUUAAUCUCGGUUGGACUAACAAUAGCGAAGGCACUUUGCGAGGACGGUUCUGACAGUGAGGGAUGAAGGCUAGGGGCGCGAAAAGGAUUAGAUACCCCCGUAGUC